rnacentral:tRNA from 1 species
GGGGUUGUAGCUCAGUUGAUUAGAGCGCCUCGCUGGCAGCGAGGAGGUCGUGGGUUUGAGUCCCAUCAACUCCACCA